rnacentral:rRNA from 1 species
CGAACGCUGGCGGCGUGCUUAACACAUGCAAGUCGAACGGAAAGGCCCUUCGGGGUACUCGAGUGGCGAACGGGUGAGUAACACGUGGGUGAUCUGCCCUGCACUUUGGGAUAAGCCUGGGAAACUGGGUCUAAUACCGAAUAUGAUCAUCGGCUUCAUGGUCGGUGGUGGAAAGCUUUUGCGGUGUGGGAUGGGCCCGCGGCCUAUCAGCUUGUUGGUGGGGUAAUGGCCUACCAAGGCGACGACGGGUAGCCGGCCUGAGAGGGUGACCGGCCACACUGGGACUGAGAUACGGCCCAGACUCCUACGGGAGGCAGCAGUGGGGAAUAUUGCACAAUGGGCGCAAGCCUGAUGCAGCGACGCCGCGUGAGGGAUGACGGCCUUCGGGUUGUAAACCUCUUUCAGCACAGACGAAGCGCAAGUGACGGUAUGUGCAGAAGAAGGACCGGCCAACUACGUG